rnacentral:lncRNA from 1 species
UGACAGUUGACAGAGUGUUUUUGCUGUGGUUGUGUGUUUGGUAUUCAAAUAGAUCCCUUUUUGAUGAGUAAGAGAGAGCCCCACCCCUUUAAGAACAGGGCUAAACUCCUAUGUGCAUAUACUUAGUUGAGCAGGUUGCAAAGCAGCAAGUCGAUCUCCAACUUGCUCCCACUAAUAGCUGGAAUACUACAGACAAAUUGUAAACACACUACUUUCACAGCAGGGGUGUGCUAUUGCUGCUUUUACUUGCCAUAGGAGUUGGCACAAGUCACACACACACACACAGACACACACACACACAUAUACACCCACGCACGCACGCACACCCACGCACGCACACACACAGACAAACAGUUUCUUCUGCAGGUUUGAACUGCGAUCAAGAUGGGCAAUGAGCAUUCCAAAAACAAGGCUGAGCAGGCUCCAGAAAAGCCCCUGCAUGGAGGUUUGAAUGGCCAUGCUGUAAGCAUCUCAUCCAAUGGCCUGGAGAAUGUUACCAGUGAAGCAGCUGUGGAGCAGAACAGUAUGCCUACCUCACUGCCUCCCUCUGAAGAGUCAGGUAUAGUGGAGGCAGAUGGCAGUGGUCUUGGGCCUGUGGUGGUGGAACAGAAGUCUGCCGUCAAGAAGGUUCCAGAAGUGGAACCAGAGACACAGAAUGCUAAGACUCAAAACACAGCGGAACCGGAACUGGAACCAGCCACCCAAGAGAAGGAGGAGCCCAAGAACAGUACACAAGAAAAAGUGAACAUCUUUGAAAAUCUGUUCAAGAAGAAAGCUAAGCCUCAACCCACCCCCAACCCGGAUCCAGCCCUGGAAAAGGAGGAGCCCAUAAGGGAGAAGAUUGUGGAGGAGAUUGAAAGUUCUGCGGAAGAUCAGAAAGUCCCUGUGGCUGUGACCGAUGGGAUCCAAGCUGAGCCACUUGCUGAGGUAAAGGAGGAUACAGAGACUUCAAAGGAGCGUCCCAACCCUAGUCCAGAGGCAGAGGAGGUCAAAAGCCCCAAAAUUGCAGAGGAAAGCAGUCACAUUCAGGAAAACCAAGAGGGAGAGAGUCAAACAGAAGAUAAUCCAGUUAUGAACUUCUUCAAAACACUAGUGACUCCCAUAAAAAAAAACAAGCAAGAAACAGCCACCCCUGAUGUUGCAAAAGACCAGAAAGAGGCCCAACCAACAACAACUACUGCUGCACAACUAGUGGAUGCAACAGCCAAAGGAGGAAUGUUAAUCCCACCAGCUGCAGCCCCAGCCCCAGCCCCGGCCCCAGCCCCGGCCGCAGCCCCGGCCGCAGCCCCUGCCCCACCCGCAGCCGCAGCCCCAGCCCCAGCCCCACCUAAGAUGGAGGUUAAAGCAGAACUAGCUGCCCAACCUGUGACCAACGCACCAAAAGAAGAACCAAAGGGUGCUGCCAAAGAAGCAGAGGCCGCCAAGCCGAAAUCUGACCGCCCGUUCAGCAGACUUUUCAGCAGAAAGAAUGUAGACUUCUCAAAGACGGCCACUCUGGAGGCCUCUGCCACUCUAGAACCACCACCACCUGCACCAGAGGACGAGAAGACACCUGCUGCCUCCAAAGCCUCUCCUUUCACUUCCUUUUCUCUUUUCAAGACCAUGGCAGCUGUGCCGAAAAAGGAAGUCCCUGCCCCAGCUGCAGAAGCGGUAGCUGGCCCAAGUGUAGCCAAGGAUGAACCAAAGGCCCCAGAGGACCCUGCUGUGGACAGCAAGCCCGUGUCAGGGCCCUCCGAGGUUAUGGAGAAUUCCCCCGUCCUCCCUAAGAGACUGGAGAAGAGGAACUCCAUCCACUUGUUCUUCAAAAACCUGGGCAAACGCCAGUCAGAUGCAGGAGUACAAACAGAACCAGAGAAGACCAAAUAAAACGGAAACACCCUUUCAAACUUCACAUGCCAUAUCUGGAAAUGAACUUUUCAUUUGUUAGAUACAUUAUGUUUCUGAUCACACUAUUGAAGGGAUGAUGGUAAGAGCAAGUGGUUUGAGGGAGAGGGGUGGACUGUGGACUGGUCUGUUCUAGUCUAAUCUAAUCUGUGUGGAUGAUUUCAGAGAAUUGUUCUUUGUGGAGGAGGUAAAAUAUAUUUUCUGGUUUAAAGGCUUGAUAGGUAGAGAAAAGUGGUUUUGUUACAUGUACUGAGAGCAAAAUCCAUUUCUAUACAGUAUUUACCCUUCUUUUAACAUGUCACUUAUUCCACGGAGGGCUGAGUGUCUGCGGGUUUUUGCUCCUCCCUUGAUUGAUUAAUUAAGGUCACUAAUUAGUAAAGAACUCCCCUCACCUGGUUGUCUAAGUCUAAAAACAAAACACCCACAGACACUAAGCCCUUCAUGGAAUGUGUUUGACACCACUGCUUUAACAUAUUAAUAUGUGUAAGGAUCUAAUGCAAAUAUUACGUUUAGCAUAUUUUUUUCCCCUCUUCAUAUACACAUUUUACUAGUCUGAAAAGAACUUGUGGAGUGCAUACAAUGGUUUCAGAUACGUUCAUAGGACGUCUUGGAGAAGAGAUGCAUAAAGCUUAGCUUGAGAUAGAAAUUGAAUAUACUCAAAAUUUAAUGGAGGAGUUGGCGAAAUGGUUGAUAUUCCUGCCAAGAUGUUUUUAUUUAGGCUAGACACAUGCAAUUUACAAUGUAAGCUUUAAACUUUGCAGGAACUGUACACGGAUGCAAAUAUAUGCCAAACACUAAAUUACAAUUUAUGAUUAUAAUCAUACACAGGGGGCGCUCCCAAUCAUUACUUUUUUGGGGAACUACACAGAUCUGGUUGUCUAUAUAGCUAACUGCACAGUCAUGCAUCAUAUUUGAUUAAUGUUUCACUGAAGUAUAAAGGUUUGUUCUAAUUUGGGUGCACUGCUUUACGUGUGUGCCUGUUUGAAUGCAGAUGUUAUAAUCUUGGGGAUCUUGUCUGUUAAUUUCUGCAUCUAUAAUUUGAUAAACUGCAUCUGGAAGUAGAAUGUUUAUUGUGACAGCAAAUUCCAAAUCAUGAAAACCUGCAAUGGGGUAUUGGGGGGGGGGGGGAGUUCUACUGAGCUAACAUAUGGAAUUUUUUUAAGAUCAUACCAUGGAUCCUUUAGCUAUUUAAUUUUUCAUUUAGGUAAAAUAUUGAAUUUGGCUUUUAAUGCUAUAGCCUAUAGAAAUGCAAUGAAUAACACAUUCAUAAAUGGCAAAACGGAGAGUACAAAAAGAAAUAAUAUAUAACGUUUUUGAAGUGUCUGUCCUACAUCUAGGAGAUGUAAUAAUGUUCAGGAUUUACACAUAUUUAACCCAUUUUUUGGGGGUGUCACAAAACUACUUCUAUAUAUUUUUUAUUAUGUUAAUUAAAUUGACGCACGGGUGCGUUGAUGGACUUUAGGGGGUAUUUAAAGCUAUUUUCCUGUAACUGUUUAAAGAGAAUAAAUGUGUACAAUUAUUUGUUUUCUUGUUUUCUAUCUCACAAUUUAGGCCAAAAGUUAUCAGUAUAGGGAAAUAUGAAAACAUAUUUAGAGUGAAAUUAAAUGUCCCUGUAAUAUAGUGAUUUAAUGUUAUCAAACAGUACUAUCAAGUGCUGCAAUAACUGAAAAAGACAUGACCCAACAAGUUUAUCAACACAUCUUGUAUUCCCAAAGUAGGGAGCCAAGCUGUUUUCAGCUAUGUUAGAAGUAUGGAG